GCUGGGUGUUCUGGAUGUCAGGUUUAGUGUUCAGGAUGCCAGGUUUAGGUGUUCAGGAUGUCAGGUUUAGGUGUUCAGGAUGCCAGGCUUUCAGGAUUCAGAUUUAGGUGUUCAGGAUGCCAGGCUUUCAGGAUGCCAGGUUUAGAUGUUCAGGAUGUCAGGUUCAGGUGUUUAGGAUGCCAGGUUCAGGUGUUCAGGAUGCCAGGUUUAGAUGUUCAGGAUGUCAGGUUUAGAUGUUCAGGAUGCCAGGCUUUCAGGAUAUCAGAUUUAGGUGUUCAGGAUGUCAGGUUUAGGUGUUCAGGAUGUCAGGCUUUCAGGAUUCAGAUUUAGGUGUUCAGGAUGUCAGGUUUAGGUGUUCAGGAUGUCAGGCUUUCAGGAUAUCAGAUUUAGGUGUUCAGGAUGUCAGGCUUUCAGGAUGUCAGGUUUAGGUGUUCAGGAUGUCAGGCUUUCAGGAUUCAGAUUUAGGUGUUCAGGAUGCCAGGUUUUCAGGAUGUCAGGUUCAGGCUUUCAGGAUGCCAGGUUUAGGUGUUCAGGAUAUGAGGUUUAGGUUUUCAGGAUGUCACAGGCAGCUCCUUGUCUCCAAAUCACCUUUCCAUGCUCUUCACCCUGUACCCAAGCAAAUCUUCCUGCCCAGUUCUCAUCCAAACGAGGUGACAGCGAAGAGGAAGGGCAGGAGCUGUUUCCCUGCAGAGAUGGAGCAGUGUGGUGUGUCACUGCUCCCAGCUGCCUGCAGCCACUCAGACCCAGCAGUGUGGUCCCUUCUGAGGCAGCUGAGCUUUGCAAAGCUCUUCUGUUUACAGAGCAGCCUCAGAGCUGCUGUCUGUGCUGGCCAAUCCUUCAC